UAACACAACAUUCUAUUAAAAGAUAUGCUAUUAUAUGCACUGUAAUAGCGAAUAUCACUCAGAAAUAAGUCUUUUUACGAAGCUUUUGAAUAUUCAAAUUGAAAGUAUCGCGCAAUCAAAUCAUUGUCAAAUCAUUGAGUUCUUGGGGUUUUAAAUAGUAGGGAUGAGGGGAGAAAAACUCAAACUAAAAUAUCCCUAGCUAUAUUACUGCAUAAUUGUAUGUCCUGAGAGUGUUUUGAGGUUACUUUGUUGAGACUUUUUAAGACUUUUGUGAAUAAUUCGAUCUUGCCCAUAUAAUAGAGCAAAGAACUGACGUUGGGGUAUUUCACUGUAGCACUUCCAGAGUUUUCCUCCUUUUCAGGCCAAUAUGUCUGCAGAUAAACCUAAGGUAUACCAGGGUGUGCGUGUGAAGACCACCGUUAAGGAGUUGCUGCAGAAGCACAGAGCCCUGCAGGCACAGAAAACCGCAACGAAAUCACAAGCCGUGGCUGCUCGCGAUGUCUGUUCUACGACCAUGAAUACCCACCUUGAUAUCUUUGGAAUGCAAGCUCCAGAGCCCUAUUUCCAGACACGUCCCUUUACCGAAAAUGUCAACAUCCCGAUGGAGAAUGCUUAUGAUCAUCAACAGAUGAUGCAUAUGAUGCCACCUGAGACUUUCAGCUGCAGUAAUUUCGUGUGUCCCAUCUCUGCGCAGUGGUCUGAUGGAUAUCUACCUUCUAACACGGACCUCUAUGGUACUAGCCUGGUUUCGAGGUCACCCUCAGACUCCAUCAAUCUCCCCAGUCCCGUCGACUACAACAGUUACUCCCCCCCUCAGUCCAACUCUUCAUCUUCUUCGUGCUACAACUCCCCAACACGGAUGGAUUUGAGCUCCAGUUUCUCUCCAGAAAAUUACCACUAUCAGCAUUGCAACCUACAGCAUUGCUUUUGUCUGUCGCACUGGUCCAAUGUGCAGGAAGGCAUGGCAACCUCAGAGUUUGCGCCCUACGGCUCAUCAGACUGUUUGUAUUCAUAUGGCGACGACAGCUAUUUCAGAAGGGAUACUUCAAACUCAGACAUGUGUUACUUAUAAAAUGCAUUUUGAAGCGCUUUGCGCGAAAAUCCAGUGUCAUAAUUGAUUCAUUCGAAUGCAUUUGUUGUACUUUAGUUUAGAUAAAAGAACAAGCAGUGAUAGAAUGCAUGAUUGGGCUUAGUUUAGUAGUUUAAGCAAAAAGGUUGAUUGCAGAGAGCUAAAUAUGUGUGAGUAUAAUUUACAAAUUAUUCUUUUAUCUUUUUUUACAAUAAACAUAUUUUUCGUAAUUUUACUGGUAUCUUUUAUUGAAAAUAUCUUAGAUAUAUUAAUAAUGGGGAAAAUAUUUCAGAUUUGCAGGGUGUAGUUUCUGUUUCUCACUUUAGAAAUGAACAUCGGAGCUUUGACAGCUGUGGCACAAUUAUUGUUUUGC
rnacentral:lncRNA from 1 species